rnacentral:rRNA from 1 species
UACGGGGGGAGCAAGCGUUGUUCGGAUUUACUGGGCGUAAAGCGCGCGUAGGCGGGGAAUUAAGUGAGAAGUGAAAGGCUGGGGCUCAACCUCAUGCAGUGCUUCUCAUACUGGUUCUCUUGAGGGCGGUAGGGAGAAGUGGAAUGGCUGGUGUAGCGGUGAAAUGCGUAGAUAUCAGGAGGAACACCCGUGGCGAAAGCGGCUCUCUGGGACGGUACUGACGCUGAGACGCGAAAGCGUGGGGAGCAAACAGG